GUCGGGAAUUUUGGGCAAUGGGCGAAAGCCUGACCCAGCAACGCCGCGUGAGGGAUGAAGGCCCUCGGGUCGUAAACCUCUGUCGGGAGGGGAGAACGGUCGCGAUUCGAACAGGGUCGUGACCUGACGGUACCUCCAAAGGAAGCACCGGCUAACUCCGUGCCAGCAGCCGCGGUAAUACGGAGGGUGCAAGCGUUGUUCGGAAUCAUUGGGCGUAAAGCGCGUGUAGGCGGCUUGGCAAGUCGGGUGUGAAAUCCCGGGGCCCAACCCCGGAACUGCAUUCGAAACUGCCUCGCUAGAGUCCCGGAGAGGAAGGCGGAAUUCCCGGUGUAGAGGUGAAAUUCGUAGAUAUCGGGAGGAACACCAGCGGCGAAGGCGGCCUUCUGGACGGUGACUGACGCUGAGACGCGAAAGCGUGGGGAGCAAACAGGAUUAGAUACCCCAGUAGUCC
rnacentral:rRNA from 1 species